GAGUGCUACGUUUUGUUA
rnacentral:miRNA from 1 species